UACGUAGGGUGCGAGCGUUGUCCGGAAUUACUGGGCGUAAAGAGCUCGUAGGUGGUUUGUCGCGUUGUUCGUGAAAACUCACAACUCAAUUGUGGGCGUGCGGGCGAUACGGGCAGACUGGAGUACUGCAGGGGAGACUGGAAUUCCUGGUGUAGCGGUGGAAUGCGCAGAUAUCAGGAGGAACACCGGUGGCGAAGGCGGGUCUCUGGGCAGUAACUGACGCUGAGACGCGAAAGCGUGGGGAGCAAACAGG
rnacentral:rRNA from 1 species